GAUGAACGCUAGCGGCAGGCUUAACACAUGCAAGUCGAGGGGUAACGGGAGUAGCUUGCUACUUGCUGACGACCGGCGCACGGGUGCGUAACGCGUAUACAAUCUGCCUUACACUGGAGGAUAGCCCGGAGAAAUCCGGAUUAAUACUCCAUAGUAUUUUCUUAUCGCAUGAUAAGAUUCUUAAAGUUUCGGCGGUGUAAGAUGAGUAUGCGUGAUAUUAGCUAGUUGGUAAGGUAACGGCUUACCAAGGCAACGAUAUCUAGGGGGUCUGAGAGGACUAUCCCCCACACUGGUACUGAGACACGGACCAGACUCCUACGGGAGGCAGCAGUGAGGAAUAUUGGUCAAUGGAGGCAACUCUGAACCAGCCAUGCCGCGUGAAGGAAGAAGGCCUUAUGGGUUGUAAACUUCUUUUAUUUGGGAAGAAACCUUUCUACGUGUAGAGAGCUGACGGUACCAAACGAAUAAGGACCGGCUAACUCCG
rnacentral:rRNA from 1 species